rnacentral:rRNA from 1 species
GACAGAGGGGGCAAGCGUUGCUCGGAAUUACUGGGCGUAAAGGGCGCGUAGGCGGGAUGGCAAGUCGGUCGUGAAAUCCCUCGGCUCAACCGAGGAACGUCGAUCGAUACUGCUGUUCUUGAGGAUUGCAGAAGAGACUGGAAUUCCCGGUGUAGCGGUGAAAUGUGUAGAGAUCGGGAGGAACACCGGUGGCGAAGGCGGCGACCUGGGUAGAUACUGACGCUGAGGUGCGAAAGCGUGGGGAGCAAACAGG